CCUACGGGUGGCAGCAGUGGGGAAUAUUGCACAAUGGGGGGAACCCUGAUGCAGCAACGCCGCGUGGGUGAAGAAGUACUUCGGUAUGUAAAGCCCUGUCAGCAGGGAAGAAAAUGACGGUACCUGACCAAGAAGCCCCGGCUAACUACGUGCCAGCAGCCGCGGUAAUACGUAGGGGGCAAGCGUUAUCCGGAUUUACUGGGUGUAAAGGGAGCGUAGACGGCAAGGCAAGUCUGGAGUGAAAGCCCGUGGCUCAACCACGGGACUGCUUUGGAAACUGUGUUGCUGGAGUGCAGGAGGGGUAAGCGGAAUUCCUAGUGUAGCGGUGAAAUGCGUAGAUAUUAGGAGGAACACCGGUGGCGAAGGCGGCUUACUGGACAUUAACUGACGCUGAGGCACGAAGGCCAGGGGAGCGAAAGGGAUUAGAUACCCUUGUAGUC
rnacentral:rRNA from 1 species